GAUGAAGAACGCAGCGAAAUGCGAUAAGUAGUGUGAAUUGCAGAAUUCAGUGAAUCAUCGAAUCUUUGAACGCACAUUGCGCCCUUUGGUAUUCCUUAGGGCAUGCCUGUUCGAGCGUCAUUUAAACCUUCAAGCUAAGCUUGGUGUUGGGUGACUGUCCGCUUCACGGCGGACUCGCCUCAAAAUUAUUGGCGGCCGGUACAUUGGGUUCGAGCGCAGCAGAAACGCGAACUCGGGCCCGUCGUAUUGGCUCCCAGAAGCUAUCUUCACAAUUUUGACCUCGGAUCAGGUAGGGAUACCCGCUGAACUUAAGCAUAUCAAUAAGCGGAGGA
rnacentral:misc_RNA from 1 species